UUUCAAUGCUAGGCUCUUUCUGGAAAACUGAACACAUCAAUGCAGAGGUCCUUUGUCUUGAGGAUUUAAGACAAAGACAUGGCUUCACUGUGUAGCUUUGACUAUACUGGAAUUCACGUGAUGAUCUUGGACUCACAAAGAUCCAACUGCCUCUGCCUCCUGAGUGCUGGGAUUAAAAGUAUGCGCCCCUACAGCAGGCUAAGUGAUUGUCACAUAACUACUUUCUGUGAUUUAAAAAAAAUAUUUUUGUAAUUAUUUUAUUUUAUGGGUAUGGGUGUUUU
rnacentral:lncRNA from 1 species